rnacentral:rRNA from 1 species
AUUGAACGCUGGCGGCAGGCCUAACACAUGCAAGUCGAGCGAGCGGCGGACGGGUGAGUAAUGUCUGGGAAACUGCCUGAUGGAGAGGGAUCACUACUGGAAACGGUAGCUAAUACCGCAUAACAUCAGAUGGGCCCAGAUGGGAUGAGCGAGGGGGUGGGGUAACAGCUCACCAAGGCGACGAUCCGUAGCUGGUCUGAGAGGAUGACCAGUCACACUGGAACUGAGACACGGUCCAGACUCCUACGGGAGGCAGCAGUGGGGAAUAUUGCACAAUGGGCGAAAGCCUGAUGCAGCCAUGCCGCGUGUAUGAAGAAGGCCUUCGGGUUGUAAAGUACUUUCAGCGGGGAGGCGUUACCCGCAGAAGAAGCACCGGCUAACUCCGUGCCAGCAGCCGCGGUAAUUC